CUGUCUCGGGGAGGAGAACAAAUCGGCUCCUUCAUGGCCCAGUGAACCAUCGACUCGGUAACCAGCAGAGUCCUUCAGAUAGAAAAGAUGCAUGGUGCUUUAAACCAUUGCAGGCCUCUCUGCUCUCCACCCCUCCUCCUCCUCCUCCUCCUCCUCCUCCUCCUCCUCCUCCUCUUUCCUUUCCAUUCCUCGUGCUCGGGCUUGAAACCGCUGCUCCAUGACACCGGGCAUCACACGUAGAAUAAAAAUGAGCCAAGUUGUGCAGUCGUCCCCGGAGUCCGGACACUUCUAUCAUGCAAAGCAUCAGUGGGGACUAAAUCUGUUACCGCUGCGUGUCGGUGCCUCGCGAAUUUAAACCAUAAAGUCAAUUAUUAAAGCAGUUGCAUCUUA